UACGUAGGGGGCAAGCGUUGCUCGGAAUCACUGGGCGUAAAGGGUGCGUAGGCGGGUCUUUAAGUCAGGGGUGAAAUCCUGGAGCUCAACUCCAGAACUGCCUUUGAUACUGAGGAUCUUGAGUUCGGGAGAGGUGAGUGGAACUGCGAGUGUAGAGGUGAAAUUCGUAGAUAUUCGCAAGAACACCAGUGGCGAAGGCGGCUCACUGGCCCGAUACUGACGCUGAGGCACGAAAGCGUGGGGAGCAAACAGG
rnacentral:rRNA from 1 species